rnacentral:rRNA from 2 species
AUCCGGGUUGCGGACAGUGUCUGGUGGGUAGUUUGACUGGGGCGGUCUCCUCCUAAAGAGUAACGGAGGAGCACGAAGGUUGGCUAAUCCUGGUCGGACAUCAGGAGGUUAGUGCAAUGGCAUAAGCCAGCUUGACUGCGAGCGUGACGGCGCGAGCAGGUGCGAAAGCAGGUCAUAGUGAUCCGGUGGUUCUGAAUGGAAGGGCCAUCGCUCAACGGAUAAAAGGUACUCCGGGGAUAACAGGCUGAUACCGCCCAAGAGUUCAUAUCGACGGCGGUGUUUGGCACCUCGAUGUCGGCUCAUCACAUCCUGGGGCUGAAGUAGGUCCCAAGGGUAUGGCUGUUCGCCAUUUAAAGUGGUACGCGAGCUGGGUUUAGAACGUCGUGAGACAGUUCGGUCCCUAUCUGCCGUGGGCGCUGGAGAACUGAGGGGGGCUGCUCCUAGUACGAGAGGACCGGAGUGGACGCAUCACUGGUGUUCGGGUUGUCAUGCCAAUGGCACUGCCCGGUAGCUAAAUGCGGAAGAGAUAAGUGCUGAAAGCAUCUAAGCACGAAACUUGCCCCGAGAUGAGUUCUCCCUGAGACUUAAAGUCUCCUGAAGGAACGUUGAAGACGACGACGUUGAUAGGCCGGGUGUGUAAGCGCAGCGAUGCGUUGAGCUAACCGGUACUAAUGAACCGUGAGGCUUAACCUU